UACAGAGGUCCCAAGCGUUGUUCGGAUUCACUGGGCGUAAAGGGUGCGUAGGUGGUGAGGUAAGUCGGAUGUGAAAUCUCCGGGCUCAACCCGGAAAUGGCAUUGGAAACUACCCUGCUGGAGGAUUUGAGGGGGGAUUGGAAUACUUGGUGUAGCAGUGAAAUGCGUAGAUAUCAAGUGGAACACCAGUGGCGAAGGCGAAUCCCUGGAAAAUACCUGACACUGAGGCACGAAAGCUAGGGGAGCAAACAGG
rnacentral:rRNA from 1 species